UGAAAAUCGCAUCGCGCCAUCGCGCGAUCGCUGCCAAUUAGGACGACGCCUUAGUAGUAGUAUUUUAGUGAUAGAAUGUUAGUAAAGAAUUAUGGAGAACUAGUUUUUGCCCGCGACUUCGUUUGCGUGGAAUAGUGACUUCCGGCAGAUUUUGAUUUGAAAAAUAGAUGGCGCUAUAUGUCCGGAAUAAAUUUUAUUUUUAUAUUUUUUGCAAUAAAAGCUAUCCUAUGUCCUUUCCCAAGUUCCAUACUAUGUCUGUACCAAAUUUCACACAAGUCGUUUCAGUAGUUUAGGCGUGAAGAAAAGACAGACAGACAGACAGACAGAGUUACUUUCACAUUUAUAAUAUUAGUUAGGAUUAGGAUGGAUUUAUGAAAGCUGAUAGUUUUAUAGUCGCUCACUUCUUUGCUAAUAACCAAGAUGACACAAACAUAAUCUCAAUAACAAACACAAAGGAGAUGGCCAAAUUUUCAUAGUAAAACAACCCAGAGUCGACAGCAACGAAAUGGGUACCAAUGGGUUCAUUAUGAUAGACCUUUGAUGGUACCAAAAAUUCCAGCCUGAAAUCCAUGGGGUAUAGGAGCUAUAUCAUAUUUUCACAAAAAUAGGUUAUGUUGCAUUUAUGUUGAUUUUACAGAUUACUUACAUAAAAAGUAUACUAACAUUAUUCAUGCCAAUAGUAAAAUUCACAUAGUUACAGAGUUUGCCUGGUUAUUAAAAGGUCUUGAGUUUGACUCCCACCCAUUGCACUAUUGACAUGAACCACUCCAGAUACGAUUAAAUACCGACCUUGAAAAGGUUUCCCUAUUAUAUGUAACAUUCAGAACAGGCAAAAAUUAAUAAAAAAUAAAAAAACUUAAAAGUUUUUUUUUUGUCCAAUAUUUUUUUUUUGUCAUUAUUCGCAUUGGUGAAAAGUUCUCGUCGUACGAAUUAUAUAAGCCCAAACACGAGGUACUUAGUUAAUAUUUACCAUUGCCGAGUUCCCUUGGUAUCAUCAGGUUAGCUCUAAAGCUUCAAUCGUGUAUAGAUUAUAAAAGAUUACGAAAUAUUUCUAAGUCAGUCGUUUUUCCGCUUAAUGUUUAUUUCACUGGCAGAACUUUGUUUUUUUUACCACCGUUAGACGUUUGCAGGGCGAACAAUUGGACAGGUUACACCUCGCAGGAACUGUAGGACUUGUAGGAGUCUGCUCGGCCGGGUGUGUGGGCGAGGGACGAUAUUACCAUGUUCGAAUAAAGUAACGUAGGUAUCCACCAACUGGCAUUACACUGAGCAGUAGUGUAGUUUUUGGUAGAUGAAAUUGGUCAGCUGGCAAUUAUUUUUGUAAUGGCUAAUAUUAGGUUAGUUCUCGGAGAAAAAAAUAAAUGUCGAACACGUUUGUUGUAUGGCCUCUUACAAAAUUUAUUUCAUUAGGUACAGUUUUUUUAUUAAUUUUUACAGUAAAAACAGACUUUACACAAAAUAGUUUCAGAAUACGCACUUUAAGACAGGUAGACUCACAGUAUGUCGUAAUAGUUUUGAAACAAGUCGUUGCUAUCUAAUAUAUCAGUCGGAGCAGAGAGCCUUGUCUUGCUACAUAAUCCAAUUUAAUUAUAUAAAUAUUAGAGUAUUUAAACUACUUUACAACUUUGUCCUUUGUUCAGCAGUGGACGAGUAGCUUUCUCUGGCGUAGGUCUACGGCUCGUAGCGUGUAGCUCUCUCUGGCGUAGGUCUACGGCUCGUAGCGUGUAGCUCCGUCUGGCGUAGGUCUACGGCUCGUAGCGUGUAGCUCUCUCUGGCGUAGGUCUACGGCUCGUAGCGUGUAGCUCUCUCUGGCGUAGGUCUACGGCUCGUAGCGUGUAGCUCUCUCUGGCGUAGGUCUACGGCUCGUAGCGUGUAGCUCUCUCUGGCGUAGGUCUACGGCUCGAUUUGGUUUGCAGAUUGUAGCUAGUUUUGUCAGGGGAUGGAUACGCCUUUAUACAACAUAUUAUAACAUUAUUGCGACAUAUCACGAUGUGCCUAAUGUAAUGUAUGUACGAGUACCUACUCAAAAUUUGCAUACCUACUGAUUGAGCGGUGAGAAAUGCUGCAUGAUAUAACCUAACUAAAAGACCUGUAAUACCGUGUCCCUGCAAUAGAGAUUUUUAACAAAUGGAAUAUCAUCUUACUUUAUCUACUUAGUCACGUAAAUUGAAUCUGUCUUUCUACAUUGUUGUUUGUGUUCGUAUUACUAACAAAGUUACUAAGUAUAAUGUUACGAAUGUUACUAAUACUAUGAGUCUUCCUUCUCUAAAUUAAUAUUUCAUAUUCAUUAUUAUAUUUGGAUUUUAUUAUUUUUUAGAUUGUAUUGAUUAGUAAAGUCGUGGUGGCCUAGUGGGUAAAGGACCAACCUCUCAAGUAUGAGGGCGCGGGUUCGAUCCCAGGUCAGGCAAGUACCAAUGCAACUUUUCUAAGUUUGUAUGUACUUUCUAAGUAUUUCUUAGACACCAUUGACUGUGUUUCGGAUGGCACGUUAAACUGUAGGUCCCGGCUGUCAUUGAACAUCCUUGGCAGUCGUUACGGGUAGUCAGAAGCCAGUAAGUCUGACACCAGUCU
rnacentral:lncRNA from 1 species